rnacentral:rRNA from 1 species
GACGAACGCUGGCGGCGUGCUUAACACAUGCAAGUCGAACGGAAAGGCCCUGCUUUUGUGGGGUGCUCGAGUGGCGAACGGGUGAGUAACACGUGAGUAACCUGCCCUUGACUUUGGGAUAACUUCAGGAAACUGGGGCUAAUACCGGAUAGGAGCUCCUGCUGCAUGGUGGGGGUUGGAAAGUUUCGGCGGUUGGGGAUGGACUCGCGGCUUAUCAGCUUGUUGGUGGGGUAGUGGCUUACCAAGGCUUUGACGGGUAGCCGGCCUGAGAGGGUGACCGGCCACAUUGGGACUGAGAUACGGCCCAGACUCCUACGGGAGGCAGCAGUGGGGAAUAUUGCACAAUGGGCGGAAGCCUGAUGCAGUAACGCCGCGUGCGGGAUGACGGCCUUCGGGUUGUAAACCGCUUCCGCCUGUGACGAAGCGUGAGUGACGGUAAUGGGUAAAGAAGCACCGGCUAACUACGUG